rnacentral:lncRNA from 1 species
UUAUCUCACCCUCCGUGAUAGGUAAGCUAGGAACCCAAUCUCAAACAAAACAUCCAAAACUUAUAGAAAAAGAAGAAAAUAAACACAUAUUAAUCCCCGAAUAAUCUCUAAAAUAGAUUGAUAGACUAGUAUAGUCAACAUAUAGACAAUUUCAGGUCUGAUAGUCACUAAUACAAGCUACUAAAUAAAGAAAUUAAAGAAAAGUUUGAGUAUCUUAAAAUGUAAAAUAUGCAUAAAAAUAAGGAAAGAGGAGAUUUCAGCAGUCUUUGAAAAUAAUAGCAGCUACCUCGAAUCUCCAAGGAUACCAACAUAGAAGGAACCACAACAAUCAAUGUCCAUAGAUCGUCGGAUCGGUACUUGCACAUUAAAUGCAGAAAAAUCAAAGGUGAGUACAGAGACGUGUAAUCAGCAAGAAUCGUCGAUCGACACUAAUUCAAAGUGGUUACAAGUAAUGCCAUGUCAACCAUCUAAAAACAAUCAUACAACCUACAUUCAGUAAAGCCACCCUAAUCUAAUUGAAAAAUUAAGUCUAAUAGUCAUAAGGAUAACAUAACACAAUUCAAGAAAUCUUUAAUACAGUAAAAUCAAGUGACAGAUAUUCAAGCGCUUAAUAAAUAGUACAAGUCAACAAUUACAUCUUACUCAAUCUGAAUCAUGAAUGAGUGAAUGAAUAUUGUGCAAUGCAAUGCAUAUGUUAUGUACACACAUACCGAACGGCUUCAAGGUUAGGACCUAUGAGGUACUCACAAGGUCCACGUAUUGUGCAGGCAGACACUCCGAUCCCAAUAAAUAUAUUGGGUAGGAGUGCGCUCCGAUCUCAAAUAAUAAAUAGAUAAUAUUGUGCAGGCCUGCACUCCGACCCCAUACGAAAUAUAAUGCAUGAUGUGUAAGCGUACAACUCUGAUCCCAAAACAAUUUAUAUACCAUGGCAAAUCAGAUCAUCGUGCUAGCAAAUUGGGAAAACAAUUUAAAAUGUAUAAUUAAUGUAUUUUAACCCCUCAACUAUCACUGGUACCCACAUAGAUGCUCGUCACUUCACCUAUACGGAACCCCCACUCUCCCAUUACUCCCAUUACACAUAACUAACACAUAAACACUUUGAAAAAGAGUCUAAGAAAGUCUCAACUUACCUUAAAUCGAAGCCCAAACCAAUUUAUAAACUUUCUCUUUUGUAAAGCUUCCAAAUGAUCAAAAUCUGUUCAAAUACACAUUCCCCGUGAGAAUACGAAUCUAAUAACUCCCAUAUUGCUAUAUUUAGCUCGAAAACAUAGUCAAAUUUCAAUCUUCAUGAAUUUCAAAUAUUUCUAACUCCUAAUCAUUUACACCAACCACAUCACGAUUCAAACUUAAUUAGAGAAUAUCCCAUCUAGUAUGCAAAUACCAUAUCCCAGAAUGAAAAUUCAAAUCAAAAUCCUAAAGAAACAAUUGAAACAACAACUUAUAAUUAGGGAACUCUAUGCUUAAAUCUCAAUUUCUCAAACUAUAUUAAUCUCCUUUCAGCAAUAUGGUCAUGUUCAUCACCUACUGUUACCACAUAUUUUCUGUCAGAAAUAGCACCUAUUUUCUGUCAUAAAUAGCACCUAUUAAUUUCAAUCCCUAAAUGCAUAUCAUGCCAUUAAUGGCAUCUUAUGACGCCUAAAACCAUUUACUAACAAUAUGCCUAAAUCUAAAAUAGAAAACAAUGAAGAAUUCAUUAGUGCCUGAUGUUUCAUCACCUUAUUAGGGACAAAAUAGCGCUAAUCAUUAGCAUAUUAUGGCGUAAUCAUUAUUUAAUUAUCUAAAACUAAAUCCCAAAAAACUAAGUACUUAGUGCUACUGCAGGUUACAUUACGUUGGAGAAAUAUUAUUCAACCUAUACAUAUAAUUGACAUUAAUAAUCUAUAAUUAGUACCAACUAUUUGGAAAAUCAUUACACCAUGAUUGGCUUGCAAAAGCACCAAAGCUUAACAAAGUCAAUCAUUAUGCCAUGAUUGGCUUGCAAAAGUAUCAAAGUUUAACAAUUGGCGGUCACUGCCAACCCUCACGCUAACACUUUACCCUCAAUUCAAUCAAAUAUCCACAAUAUAAUUAUAGCACUACAAGUGCAAAAUCAAAAUUACAAAAUAAACAUUAUAACCAAACCUCAAGUUAGUCCGAGAAAAUAAACAUUAUAACCAAACCUCAAGUUAGUCCGAGAAAGAGAUCCCCUUCAAGGCUUCUUGGUGUAAAUUGUAUUAUAGCUAACUGUCAUUGUUGUGAUCUAGGGAGUUGGCCUGUCAGUUUAUUUAACUUGAAUGCAGGUCAUGUGAUAUAGGGUAGUUUAUGAUUUUAUGGAUUUAGUCUAAUUAUCCACCAAUUUAAUUAAUUGUCAAAAAUAACUCAAAACUUUUAAUAGACCCUCAAAAUUUAUUCGAAAACCCAUGAAAACAAACUGAAUAUGUAACUUCACCAAAAAUCACAUUCAGGACACAACGGUAACUCUAAAAAUACCAAAUCAAGGUCAUCUUGACCAUAAGUUGAUCAUGGUUGAACUUGAUAAGAACGAAUCUAUGACUUAAUUCACUUUCGGACACCUCAAGGAUUGGUACCACCCGCCUUGUAAGCCACAAGUCAUGUCUAAGAACUAUGAGGAAGGUUAAAUAACAAAAAUUCACAAAAUGACUCAGGGGUCAUUAUAUCAUCCACCAUUAAAAUAAACAUUCAUCCUCGAACGUGAAGAGAAAGAUGAUACCUGGACUAUCAAAGAGAUGAGGAAAUCUACUCUGCAUGUCGUACUCAACCUUUUAAGUGGCUUCCACUAUGGGACGAUGACUCUAUUGUAUAUAUCUUUUGACCUCAACUUUUUAACCUGUCUAUCCAGAAUAGCUAUAGGAUUUUCCUCAAAAGCCAAAUUCUAAUCCAAACUCACUCAAUACCACUGAAUCACAUAUGAAUCAUCUGGAUGGUACCUUUUCAACAUCAAAAAACUAGAUGUACGACUGAAAGACCCGGUGGCAAAGUCAACCCAUAAACGACCACCAACUUGCUGAAGAAUCUCAAAAGGGACAAUAAACCUCAGACUGAGCUUUCCUUUCUUCCCAAACCUCAUCACACCCUUCAUGAUACCUUCACAAGACCCAUUCAAACUGCAUGAACUCCAAGUUACGACCCCAAAACAUAACUCUUCUGUCUACUCUGAGCUGCCAAAAUUGGUCCUGGAUCAAUCUUACCUGGUGUUUUAUCCCCUUUUUAAUCCAAAAGAUUGAAAAAAAUUGAUUUCGACUAUUUAAACCAUUUUAAAAACUUUUAAGAAAAUUUUAAAUAAUUUAAAAAAUUACAGAGUCACCACUUAAUUUUUUUGAAAAGAAAUUAAGGAAACUUUUAAAAGAAAACUCCAAGUCUUAAAACAAAAAAAGACUUAGACUUUUCAGAAAAAUUCUGGGUAUAAAGUCCUUAUUAACAUUUUAGAAAGGUUUUUAAGGAACCUAAAAUGUUCGCUAACUUGCGGUUAUCCAGGCUAUUUCAAAACGACUUUUGACUAACUAAAACAGAGAAGCUGAUUUUUUUUUUUUUGAAAGUGAUUAAGGAAGAACUUGUGUAAAAUAAAUUUUUGAAGACUUAAUAGGGAAUUUAACUAAGUCUAAGAAAAUAAAUAACAAAUAAGCACAGAAAGAGAAAGGGGGAGAAGUAAACGAUCUAGGCUCUUAAGCCAAAAUCUAUAAACCCUGUCCUAAAUUAAUCAAUUGGGUUUUUGACCCAUCUUCACUUGUCCUAAUCUAUUCAUUUGGGCUUUUGGCCUAUCUUCACCUAUCCUAAUCUAAAUAUUGGGCUUUUGGCCCAUAACCUGUCCUCUACUAUCUUUUUCGGGUCCUUUGGCCCAAAAUCGGCUUCACGUAUAUUAAUUUACAAUUUUGGCUUCGAUGCCUUAAUGAAUGAAUGAAUAAAUAAAUAAAAAAGUAAAAACAUGAAUAUAAAUAGAGACUUGUUAAGUAUCUUAACAUCUCUAUCAAUAGGUUUUGACCCAUUUUUCCUCUUCCAUCUUCUUAUACCAGUAUGCCUUGGAUCAUUGUUUGGACUUAGUCUGAAUCAUGACUCGAAGAGAUGAGCCUCAUUAUCCCAUGAAGAAAAUGCAAGGAGAAAUUGAGUCCAUUUGGACUCUAAAGCUAGUUCAUGCAAAGAAAGAAAAGAAGGAUAAAAUAAUUAAUACUAUGUUAAAAUACGCAAUUAAGAUAACAAAGAAAUAUGUAUCAAGCUCAUAUAAAGGAACGAUAAUGGAAAGUUUAGGUAUUAAUUAAAAUACUUCUCAUGCAACCAAUUUAGAAGAAAGACCAAUAAAAGCCACAAAAAUUAACUUUAAUCAGCCAAGACAAACAUUUUUACCCCAUAAGCAUUACCAAACGAUAACUAUCCUUUAUUUUGUCUAAAUUCCAGUAAACAAAGUAAUAUAGACAAAUCCUUUACAUCUGAUGUAUUAGCUAAAAAAGUUAAUUAAGAGAAAAAUUGGAAAGAAACAACGGAGAUGCUAAAUAAAACAAAAAAGGGAGGGCUGGGUACCUUAGGCCAUACUUAGACAAUUAAAGUAUCCAAAUAUUAGUUAACGACCCAUUUAGCACCAAUUUUCCAACCAAAAAAUUUAAGCAAAAGAAAGAGAGGAUAUGAAUACAUAAAGUUGGAAACUGUAACGACAAAAUGCAUCACAACUUCUAGCAUAUUAGAUCGAGAAAAGAUACAGUUCUAACUUUACAAGUUAAACAGAAGACUCAUUACAUAGUUUGAGUUACCACAAAUUAUUAAAGAUGAUAUUUACAAAAGAUGGAACAGACAAUCUAUUCCUACAUUGUCCUAAAUAAGAUCUGAACUCUGACUCAAGAGAACCACUUAUAGAAAAGCCAUUUCUAAACUAUGAGAUUCAGAUUUUUCAGCAUACUUACACACAAUUCAGACGAUGGAACGAAUCAAGUAAUGAUCAAACAUGAACAUUAUUUUCUAUAACUAAGAAAAUUAUAAAAGUUUAUGAACAAAUGAAAUUAUCUGUAGAUGGAACUGUCUAGAAUGUCUAAACAAAAUCCAAAGUUUAUUUGCAAGUGGAUACUCUCGGGAUCAUGAAGACUCAAAAAUAAGAAACAACACCAUCCACUACUUUCUUCUCUCACAACUAAUAUUGCUAAUAUGUUAGUUGAAAACCAUAUGAGACUUCGCACAAUAACCAAAAUACUAUUCUAUUACAGAACUUAAAGGAAAGAAUCAACGACUUGAACAAGAACAACCAAAUAAUCGCUUCAAAGCAUGUGGUUCAUGAACUUUAUAUGGCACUGUAAACCAGAAAGAUCCUAGGACAAUAACCAGAGAGUGUAAUUUUGUGAGCAAGGGUCUGUUUUGAUUAUUUUUUUGCUCAUAUAUAAAAGGGCAGGAACAAACUUAGGGGAUGAGCAAGAAAUUUCACAGUAAGAAUCAACUAGCACUAACAAUGUAUAGAUGACCAUAUUCAAACAAACAUUAGAGAGAUUCAAUGAGUUUUGCACCAAGAAAUCAUUCAAGUUAAGACUUCCACAAACUUAUGAGCAAAUAGAGCAUCAGGGCAAGAAUCAACCCACAACAAUUAUAUAAAUAAGCUUAAUAGAGUCUGCUUACGUACUUCUUACUAUCAAACAAAUAACAUAAAUAAAACUAACCCAUACACAGGAUUAUAUUCAAAUAAAUCAAACCAAACUUGAGCAGAAAUUAAAUGCAACAAUAAAACAACUAAGAUAGGUAGAGGGAUAUCACAACAAUCUAACCAUUUUCACUUUAUCCCAUCAAAAUCCUAUGUCCAUUGAGGCCUUCUAUAGCGCACAAUCCCAGCAUACAAGAUUAUCAAAAUGCUACUAACUAUAGAAUAACGAGAAGAAGAAAUAAAAUUAAAACUAAAAAGGAAAAAAUAUUACCUAUUUUAGGGCAGCAAAAUGGGACCCCGAGUUGUCGUCGGAAUCUUGACUACCACUGAAAAGUGUCGAUGCCGCGGCGAAAAUUCCGACUAGCUAGCUACUUUUCGUAAAAAAAAUUUACUAAAAGAAAGAAUUCAUUUGUUUGUUCGAAACAGGUUUAUCA